rnacentral:lncRNA from 1 species
GCAUGCUCCAGAAGUUCAGCAUAAGUCUGGAGGAGAGUGUUGUCCAAAGAAUAUAUAAAUCGAGAUCCCUUCAGAUCUCUUUUCAUGGCCGAUAUGGUCAUGUCUUCAUUAAGGUCCUUGGCCUCAAGCGUGGCCGCAUUAAAACGGACCACAAAAUCUCGAAGUGUCUCAGUCUCUCCCUACUUGAUUGAGAAGAGACUAUCAGAGGUUCGUGACCGUCUUCGACUGG